rnacentral:rRNA from 1 species
AUACGGAGGAUCCGAGCGUUAUCCGGAUUUAUUGGGUUUAAAGGGUGCGCAGGCGGCCAUUUAAGUCAGCGGUUAAAUCGUGGGGCUCAACCCCUUUCUGCCGUUGAUACUGGGUGGCUUGAUUGCGGUCGAGGUUGGCGGAAUUCGUUGUGUAGCGGUGAAAUGCAUAGAUAUGACGAAGAACACCGAUUGCGUAGGCAGCUGACCAGACCGCAAAUAACGCUCAUGCACGAAAGUGCGGGGAUCGAACAGGAUUAGAUACCCUGGUAGUCCGCACAGUAAACGAUGAAUACUUGUUUUCGGCGAUAUAAUGUCGGAGGCAAAGCGAAAGCGAUAAGUAUUCCACCUGGGGAGUACGCCGGCAACGGUGAAACUAAAAUGAAUUGGCGGGG